rnacentral:lncRNA from 1 species
GCAGAUUAAAUGAGCAUGUGGCAUUUUCAUUUUUCCAAGGAGACUUUUUUUUAAAAAAAAAGCCUCCUCUUUUUCUCUUUUUCUUCCACACUGCCAUUAAUGAUCCUCCAGCAGCUUUCCCAGGACUCCCAGGACUUUCUGCGUGCAUUGCUAACCAAAAUCACCUAACCAAAAGCAAGGGCGUGCAUUCACUUCAAUACAUCAACACAGGAAGAGCAGCUUAAGGAGAAAAGAAGAUCCUGGAGGCGCCCCAGCAAACUGGGAUACCUGGUCUCCUGCCAAUGUUCCACCGAGCAUCUGUCCUGUGAGCCUCUGCAGUUUUCCCUCCCCAAGAGCCAGACCUCUCGGUUUUAGAUGGAGCACAGCCUGCUGCCAGUCUGAGAACCAGGGGAACGGCGUUUGUGACGCCCUUGAAUUGCUUUGGUUAAAUUUCCCCGCAACUACACUGCCCUCCAGCAUUCAUGGUGAUCCUGAAACCUCACCUCCUAAGCACCCUCACUCUUCUAGAUCUGCU